rnacentral:misc_RNA from 1 species
GGAAAUAAUAUAUAGGUAGGUGAUUUUUAAUAUUAUAUAUUUAUAUUCCAAGAUUAAGAAAACUGCAAUUUAUAUGAGUCUUCUACAAUGUUUAGAUUUUCUAACCAAAUCCGUGACGAAUCGAAACAUAUUUUUGAUAUGUAAUUCAUCGCGAUGAUAAUUACAUAUAGCGGGCACUUAGUUUAAUGUACUGAUUGCAUACAUUGUCAUUGACAUUUGUGAAGAAUACUCAGCCUUCUUAUGCUGGGAAAAGAACAUUGCUACGAAUUGGAAGAUUCAUUCAGACUGACUGGUUCACAACAUCGUUCAUGUUGUUAAACGUCCAUGCACCUUGCGCAGUCUGAAGUAUAUAUUCGGGUUUCGUAUCAGCCAUGUUGAACACAAGCCGACAAUAUCGAUUCAGUCUUCUGCCGUAGGAAAGAUUUUUCGUCAAUCAUCAAACAUAAUUUGCUGGAUAUAUUUGCCAACUGUUUACUGUUUCUCAGCCUCAGUAACCAUAUAUUCAGGUGUCUCCUGCUGAGAGUCGUGAGAAAUAAGCUUUGAUAUAUAGACGGAAGAAAUCACACACAAUCUAAUUGAGAAAUCAAUUUGUCGAUACCGUUAAAUGUGUAUCUUUAAACAAGUUUAUCGUUAUGACUUAGCACUAGACGGCAAUCUCUGCCUCCUCAUAUAGUUCCAGUAGUUAGUCAGAAUAGCAAGAAUCAUGCAUAUUCUACAAUAGGUACAUAUGAAAUUUAUGAAUCGAUACCUUGAUGCACUUAUAUAUAUGCCUUACCUGUUCCCAUACUAGCCAUGUGGUUCUUUCUCCAAAAUGUACUGUGGUAUAGACUAGUAGUAUUAGAUAGGUUAUGGGGAUAUUUACGGCUAUCAGGCAACAAUAUUGUUAUGGACGGAGGGCCAGUGGUGGAGUUACGCCAUCAGUGUACUAGCCGCAACCGCACUUAUAUUUAUUCAACAUGGCGUCGAACCAAUGACUCCAAAGUUUUAAAUGGCCAAUGAACUUGAAUAGGAAUGCUUUUACGUUUUUUCACUUUCGCAUUGGUAGCUUCAAUCAAACACAGUUUUGCAGACCAAAAUUGUACAGAUUUUGAUUUCGUCCAAAGUUCUCCAAAAAAUGAGGACAAUCACACGAAUUACAUUGGCAAAGCAUGGAGUAUUGACUGCCGAAUCAAAGGCAAUUCUUCCACGGCUGAGGUUAGACUAUACCAGGAUGGUGUGCUCAGGAGACCCGAUGGUCGUGUUUUGAAAGUUAAGGAACAGAUAUAUUCGUUGUUGAGUGAAAAUAAUUCUGACAUUGGCGAAUAUUCUUGCCAAUACUGCAAUAGGAGUAAAAUCGUUGGAAAGAUUACUGCAGAUACGGCAAAACGGCGUCCAACAAUAUACCCUAAUGAACAGAAACCUAUAAAUUCCGGGGAAAGUAUAACCUACUCGUGUCAAGUGGAAGGUGUCUAUGACAUGUACUGGUAUAGAGUGGCACGUAAUGGUACUAAAAAGUUAAUGAAUAGUGUAGAUGAGUCACUUUGGAAGAAUGAUUUCAGGUUUACUCGCCGUCGACUUACAAUACACAAUUUUACUGAAGAAGAUGAAGACAUGUAUAUGUGUUUUAUCAAAAGAUCGACGAAUAAAUAUGUCGCCGAAAAAGAAAUGUUUCUUGCCGUGAGAGAUUCUUCAAAAGAUAUGCAUAUACCAGUCCACUGGUAUUAUACUUCAUUCAGAAAAAGAGAAAUUAAUGGUCAUGUUUUUCUUACCAUACUGCAUGUGUAUGCCUGCCAUUUACCCUUGGUUGCAAAUCUUAUCGUUUUGGAACCUGUUAAAGGCAUUGUGUGGGGAAAAAAUUUCACAAUCGGCCAGUCAAAACCGAUAAAAUUAGAACUCCAGCUUUGGCGUGACUGUAGAAAUGCACAGCCAUGAUCAUGGGAGAUAUAAAGACCGUUUGCAUAUUAAGGCUCUUUUACACAAUAUUAAUGCGAGAGUUUCUCAUUCCUCAAUCAAAAUUAUGGACCAAAAGUUUAUCAUAACAACAGCAAAGUGUGACAAAAGAGAAAAAUGCUACAACACAACAUUAAACAACCUGGUGUGUCCACGAUAUCUGGAUAGUUUAGAAGAAAAGCUAAAUGCGACGUUCAUUCUCACCCUACGAGAUCCUUGCAAGGAAAUAUUCAAUCUUCAGAUUUAUAAUAGAAGUCAGUCAGCUACAAACCGCUCUCUAUUGGAUGCGGAGUUCGAUCAGAACCAUACACAUGUCAAGAUGAACUUGACGGGAUAUAAUAAGGAAAUUGAUAGGUUUGCAAUUCAAGGAAAAGCGAAAUUCUCAGAAUGGAACCUAAGACUACAAGUUAAGAAACUUUCUUCCACCACAAAAAGAGUUAAGCUUUUUUUGGAGAUGCCCAAAGUGAGGUUGGCGGGUCAUUCUAUUAUCAUGGAGGGAGAUUACCACCUAAAUUGCCCUUCAAAAGGUGAGUCAGAUGUAAAAGACCAAACAAAGGUUAUUGUUUUUAUAUCCAUUUCCCUCAUUAUUCUUGGUUUGGUAAUAUUCAUUGGUGUAUGUCUCUACCGAAAGUUCAGUGGCCGUCCCAGAGAUGAACCUCUACUCAACUCAAUGGAAGUGGAACCUGAAGUAUAUAAAUUGUAAUCGAAGCUUCUCAAACAAAUACUAAGACAGACACACGUUUAUCAAAAUCUCUUUUACAUUUGUGUAUAGUCUAAAGUUGGUGGUGGCCCGUGAACAUUGACACAAACAAUAUCCUGACUGUAUAGAGCACAAAAAUCCUAAUAAUAUAACAGCCACUGUCAUGUCACCGACUGGAAAUUUGUAGCAUGAAAUAAAAAUCUUGAUAAAAAAAUAAAAACGAAUUUGUA